rnacentral:rRNA from 1 species
UACGGGGGGGGUAAGCGUUGUUCGGAAUUACUGGGCGUAAAGGGCUCGUAGGCGGCCAACUAAGUCAGACGUGAAAUCCCUCAGCUUAACUGGGGAACUGCGUCUGAUACUGGAUGGCUUGGAUUCGGGAGAGGAAUGCGGAAUUCCAGGUGUAGCGGUGAAAUGCGUAGAUAUCUGGAGGAACACCGGUGGCGAAGGCGGCGACCUGGGUAGAUACUGACGCUGAGGUGCGAAAGCGUGGGGAGCAAACAGG